rnacentral:rRNA from 1 species
UACGUAGGGACCGAGCGUUGUCCGGAAUCAUUGGGCGUAAAGGGUACGUAGGCGGGUCAUUAAGUUAGAAGUCAAAGGCUAUAGCUCAACUAUAGUAAGCUUCUAAAACUGGAGACCUUGAGUAAUGGAAGGGAAAGUGGAAUUCCUAGUGUAGCGGUGGAAUGCGCAGAUAUUAGGAGGAAUACCGGUGGCGAAGGCGACUUUCUGGCUAUUAACUGACGCUGAGGUACGAAAGCGUGGGUAGCAAACAGGAUUAGAUACCCUUGUAGUCC